UACGAAGGGGGCUAGCGUUGCUCGGAAUCACUGGGCGUAAAGCGCACGUAGGCGGAUUGCUAAGUCAGGGGUGAAAUCCUGGAGCUCAACUCCAGAACUGCCUUUGAUACUGGGGAUCUCGAGUCCGGGAGAGGUGAGUGGAACUGCGAGUGUAGAGGUGAAAUUCGUAGAUAUUCGCAAGAACACCCGUGGCGAAGGCGGUGUGCUGGGUUGCACCUGACGCUGAGAGUGCGAAAGUGUGGGAGCAAACGGG
rnacentral:rRNA from 1 species